rnacentral:rRNA from 1 species
UGGGGAAUUUUGUACAAUGGGGGAAACCCUGAUCCAGCCAUCCCGCGUGUGCGAUGAAGGCCUUCGGGUUGUAAAGCACUUUUGGCAGGAAAGAAACGUCAUGGGUUAAUACCCCGUGAAACUGACGGUACCUGCAGAAUAAGCACCGGCUAACUACGUGCCAGCAGCCGCGGUAAUACGUAGGGUGCAAGCGUUAAUCGGAAUUACUGGGCGUAAAGCGUGCGCAGGCGGUUUGGAAAGAAAGAUGUGAAAUCCCAGAGCUCAACUUUGGAACUGCAUUUUUAACUACCGGGCUAGAGUGUGGCAGAGGGAGGUGGAAUUCCGCGUGUAGCAGUGAAAUGCGUAGAUAUGCGGAGGAACACCGAUGGCGAAGGCAGCCUCCUGGGAUAACACUGACGCUCAUGCACGAAAGCGUGGGGAGCAAACAGG